UAAGAAGAUGAGCUCAUUCCAAAGUAAAUGCCUGUAGGUCUUCAGAGUUCACUGGGAAGCGUUUCUUGCAAAAACAGAAAUUCUAAGUACACCAAAUCAACCUAAAGCAUCAAACAUGAUUUUGUGAGUAGAUGGAGAAGAAUGGAAGAGCCAGAAAAUCCUGAUCACAUUUGUGAACUUUUCUCAGCAGCAGUCCAUGGAGGGCAUCAAUAGGCGACAUCUAGUCUCAAUAAGGACCAUGUUUCUACCCAACAUUUAGACUGCAACACAGAUUACAGUGUCAGGCAUAAAACCUAACAAGAGUCAUUCCUUAGAAGAAAUGAAAGACAAAGAGCUUCACUCCAAUGACAAACUAUUCCAGCCAUUCAAUAGUGUGACCAUUGUCAUCGUAUUCAUGAAAAUACUCCUAUGAUUAGCAGCUGGAAAUCACACUAAAAUGCCCAGGACAGCUUACUUAACUUUUCCCAUCGACUCUGAAGAAGACAAAUCAUCCCCUUCCAAGACUAAAACGAUGCAGAAUGACAAUUUCUCCAGUUUGUGAAGAUCAUUUUGAAUUCUAAUCCAGUCCCCCAUAGCGCUUGCAAAUAUCCCUGCCUGGUAUUGUCCACAAACUUGUUUGGGUUUGUUCAUCUAGACUCCUUAAUUACUUGAAUUGAUUCCCAGUGUCACUGUCUGUUUUAACUUUGUCUUUGUACACAAUGUUUGUCAGUUGUACCCUUAUAUAAUGUAAGGCACUACAAGGUAAGAA